GGAUACGUCCUUGUUGGAUGAACGUAAUGGCCGUCUUCAGGUUCUGAGUCAUGCGGAGGUUCAGCAUGAUGCUGGGCAGUCGCCUCCUGCAGAAGGACGAGGCCGUGACCUUCUCUGUCAGCGACAGGUUCUGUCUGGUGGGGAUCAGGCCGAUGCUGUACCUGAUCAACCAGAGGAGCAGACAGUGUCGCAUCAGGUUAACACGAGUCACAAUCCACUGAGGCUUCAUGUGGAAAGGUCAGACGGCAACAACAGAUGUGAUCAAAGUAGGGGUGCUCCGAUCAAUCAGCCACGAUUUCCUUAAUUUUGGGCGAUUGGCCGACAUGUGAAACCGAUCUUAUUUUCUUCCACACUGUUUCCCUCUGCUUAACAUUAGCUGCAUUUCCACCGACCAUAAAAAUCCGUAAUUUGACACGUCCAAAAAUAAAUUUGCUUAAUGGAAACACGCCAAUUUUGGGGGAAAACAAAAAAAC